GGCCCCCUCACUGGGAAGCCAAGGUCCGAGCUGGCCAGUCAGCUCCUCAGAGACACACCAAAUCCCACAUGCCCAGGGCCUUGGUGUGGGGAUUUCAGGAACCCCAUGGACCUGAGAACCUAAUUCCAGGUGAGGUGAGGCCGCCCUAUGGUGGAGAAAGCACCUUAGUCCUGGCUAUGCUGCUCCGUCUCAGGGGACCUGGCCCAUGGACUAUCACUUGGCAGGGCCUCGGCCUCCCCAUCCGUGGCAUGGAGGUGCUGAACCCUGUCUGCUCUAUCCACUUUGCUGCAUUGUGGGACCUCUGACGCCUUCACCCACCGGGAUGAGGCAUGGACUCAUCUCAGGCCUCAGUGGGGAAACGUGAGCAUGGAGGAGGUGGGCUCUGGGCUCACUGAAGCACAAGCCAGGCCCCUCGCUGAGUGUGGACACCAGGCUGGGCCUAGCCAUGCAGGCUGUGGGGUGCGGCCUGCUGUGAUGGGCAGGACCUCCUUCUUCAACCCACCAUUGCAGCUCCCUUCACUAACUCAGCAAAUGCUACAGCUGGAAGGGACCCUCGACAACAGUGCGUUCAUGCUUCCAGUGGAGAGAUCACGGAACUAGGGCCCAGGGAGGGGAAAGGACUCACAUGGAAACCUAGAGGCAGCAGGGGGUCAUAGCCCCUGCUGCUGACUCCACAGGGCUGGAGUUUUCUGUUCUUAACAGUCCUAGGCACCAGUAUCCCUGGGAGGGGCCUUGCCCUAAAGCGGUUUGUAAGACCCCUAAUGUGGAGAGCCAGGAGCCUGGGAGCAGAACUGGGCCCUCACCAGCAGCUCCUGAUCCUGAAGGAGGAAAGCCUGGACUCCUUCAUGUCUGCUGGAAGACUGACUCUGCUGGCCCUG
rnacentral:lncRNA from 10 species